rnacentral:rRNA from 1 species
UGGGGAAUCUUGCACAAUGGGGGCAACCCUGAUGCAGCGACGCCGCGUGAGCGAUGAAGGUUUUCGAAUCGUAAAGCUCUGUCCUAUGGGAAGAUAAUGACGGUACCAUAGGAGGAAGCCCCGGCUAACUACGUGCCAGCAGCCGCGGUAAUACGUAGGGGGCGAGCGUUGUCCGGAAUUACUGGGCGUAAAGGGUUCGCAGGCGGCCUGGCAAGUUCGAUGUAAAAGGCGAAGGCUCAACCUUCGUAAGCAUCGGAAACUGUCAAGCUUGAGUGAAGGAGAGGCAAGUGGAAUUCCUAGUGUAGCGGUGGAAUGCGUAGAUAUUAGGAGGAAUACCGGUGGCGAAGGCGACUUGCUGGACUUCAACUGACGCUGAGGAACGAAAGCGUGGGUAGCAAACAGG